UCCUCUUUCAAUAUGGUAUUGAGGGCCUU
rnacentral:piRNA from 1 species